rnacentral:rRNA from 1 species
GGGUCAGUAGGUUGGUCGUGCCACCGGUACGUACUGGUCUCACUGACUCCUCCUUCCUGAGGAACCGUAAUGCCAUUAAUUUGGUGUUGCGGGGAAACAGGACUGUUACUUUGAAAAAAUUAGAGUGUUUAAAGCAAGCUAACGCUUGAAUACAUUAGCAUGGAAUAAUGGAAUAGGACGAUCGAUCCUAUUUUGUUGGUUUCUAGGAUUGACGUA